GGACGAACGCUGGCGGCGUGCUUAACACAUAGCAAGAACGAACGAUGAAGCUGGAGCUUGCUCCGGUGGAUUAGUGGCGAACGGGUGAGUAACACGUGAGAAAUCUGCCCUUGACUCUGGGAUAACUGCGGGAAACUGUAGCUAAUACCGGAUACUUUCCUUGGUGGGCAUCCACUGGGGAAGAAAGAAUUUCGGUCAAGGAUGAUCUCGCGGCCUAUCAGCUUGUUGGUGAGGUAAUGGCUCACCAAGGCGACGACGGGUAGCCGGCCUGAGAGGGUGACCGGCCACACUGGGACUGAGACACGGCCCAGACUCCUACGGGAGGCAGCAGUGGGGAAUAUUGCACAAUGGGCGCAAGCCUGAUGCAGCAACGCCGCGUGAGGGACGAAGGCCUUCGGGUUGUAAACCUCUUUUAGCAGGGAAGAAGCGAAAGUGACGGUACCUGCAGAAAAAGCACCGGCUAACUACGUGCCAGCAGCCGCGGUAAUACGUAGGGUGCAAGCGUUGUCCGGAAUUAUUGGGCGUAAAGAGCUCGUAGGCGGUUUGUCACGUCUGCUGUGAAAUUUCGAGGCUCAACCUCGAACUUGCAGUGGGUACGGGCAGGCUAGAGUGCGGUAGGGGAGAUGGGGAAUUCCUGGUGUAGCGGUGGAAUGCGCAGAUAUCAGGAGGAACACCAAUGGCGAAGGCACAUCUCUGGGCCGUAACUGACGCUGAGGAGCGAAAGCGUGGGGAGCAAACAGGGAUUAGAUACCCUGGUAGUCCACGCCGUAAACGGUGGGUGCUAGCUGUGGGCCACAUUCCACGUGGUCCGUGACGAAAGUUAACACAUUAAGCACCCCGCCUGGGGAGUACGGCCGCAAGGCUAAAACUCAAAGGAAUUGACGGGGGCCCGCACAAGCGGCGGAGCAUGCGGAUUAAUUCGAUGCAACGCGAAGAACCUUACCAAGGCUUGACAUAUAGAGGAAAAGUGCAGAAAUGUACUCCCCGCAAGGUCUCUAUACAGGUGGUGCAUGGUUGUCGUCAGCUCGUGUCGUGAGAUGUUGGGUUAAGUCCCGCAACGAGCGCAACCCUCGUCCUAUGUUGCCAGCACGUAAUGGUGGGAACUCAUGGGAUACUGCCGGGGUCAACUCGGAGGAAGGUGGGGAUGACGUCAAAUCAUCAUGCCCCUUAUGUCUUGGGCUUCACGCAUGCUACAAUGGCCGGUACAGAGGGCUGCAAUACCGUAAGGUGGAGCGAAUCCCAAAAAGCCGGUCUCAGUUCGGAUUGAGGUCUGCAACUCGACCUCAUGAAGUCGGAGUCGCUAGUAAUCGUAGAUCAGCGACGCUACGGUGAAUACGUUCCCGGGCCUUGUACACACCGCCCGUCAAGUCACGAAAGUCGGUAACACCCGAAGCCGGUGGCCUAACCGUAAGGAAGGAGCCGUCGAAGGUGGGAUUGGUGAUUGGG
rnacentral:rRNA from 1 species